GACACGCGCCACUGUUUUUGUUUUCAAACAGGGGUACUUAACCGAAACUAGCAAUCCCAGGCGGUACAAGGCCCUCCAUCGUAGGCAAAGCACUACCUGAAUGUAGAUUUGGGCCAUACGUUGGAAAAUAAGACAUGAGAGUAUGCUCCGAUCAACUUUUACUGUUCACUGGACAACUAUUUUGGGAAUUUGCAGACCUAUAAAGCCCAUCUAUAAAUCUCAAGCAUGUCCACUUUCAGAGAAGAGAAAUGCUGACAACCAUUUAGUCUCUGAGGACAACACUUUUAAAGUUAUACAGGACUCCAUCAUAGGACUGGAGAGAGAUUGGAUGUCAGAGUGAUUGAUGUGCUCCUACUGGAAGAAGGCAAACAUCCAUAUGUGAACUGCCUGUGGGGUUUCCAAGGAAAGGAACGGCAGGCAGCCUCUAUGAGCUUAAAGAAGAUAACUGGGACUUUAGUCCUAUAACCUCAAGGAACAGUAUUCUGUGAACCAUCUGAGAAGCUUGGAAGAGGACCCCAAACUCCAAAUAAGAAGCUCAGUGUGUCUGACACCUUGACUGCAGGCUUGGGAGGUCCUGAGCAGAAGAUCCAGUUCAACAGUGCCUGGACUCCUGAUCCACAAAAACUGAUAACAAAUAUUUAUUGUUUUAAGAUGCUAAGUUUGUAGUCAUUUUUUAUACAGCAACAGAAAACUAAACACACACAUAAACAGUUAUAAG
rnacentral:lncRNA from 1 species